AAAAAUGAGCCACAUAUUUUGUUUUGGGCCACCAGGGGUCGCCGGCACCAUUUGUUAUUCUAAUACCACUGUCCCGAGCCCUUGGGGGUUAUUUAUAGGGACUCCUCCCCAGUGACUUCCACCGGGGAUGCAAAUGAAGAGCCCGGCUCCAUUUAAAGGUCACUUUCUGCUCAGGUUCUGGAGGUGUUUUAUCGGUGCUGCUUAGGGCGUUAUUUUACAAUUGACUUCAGCAAAUACUGCAAUGCGACAAAUAAAACCUGUCUUUUUUCUUAUUUACUUUUUAUUGAUCUUCCGCUUAAAAUGUGUUCGGUCCCAGGUGGUUCUGACAGAGACCGGCGGGGAUGCGAAGAAGCCGGGAGAGACCCUCAGGCUGAGCUGUAAAACCUCCGGGUUCACCUUCAGUAGCUCCGAAAUGCACUGGGUCCGGCAGGAGCCCGGGAAGGGGCUCGAGUGGGUCGCUUACAUCAAUCCUGCUGGGAGUACCACAUACUACCUCCCUGCAGUGAAGGGUCGGUUCACCAUCUCCCGGGACAAUUCCCAGAGCCUCCUUUACCUGGACAUGACGAACCUGAAACCCGAGGACACAGCCAUUUAUUAUUGUACCAGAUAUGCACAGUGACAGGGAUCCAUAAAGGGGCUGAGCAAAAACCUGACGGGCAGAAAUAAUAUGAUAAAAUAACUGUGUAAACAGUACUUGGACGCACCUUGUCUUGAUGGUCCCA